rnacentral:rRNA from 1 species
UGAGGAAUAUUGCGCAAUGGGGGAAACCCUGACGCAGCGAUGCCGCGUGGGUGAAGAAGGCCUUCGGGUCGUAAAGCCCUGUCAAGCGGGAAGAAUAGCUCUGGGGCUAAUAUCCUCAGGGUGUGACGGUACCGCUGAAGGAAGCACCGGCUAACUCCGUGCCAGCAGCCGCGGUAAGACGGAGGGUGCGAGCGUUAUUCGGAUUUAUUGGGCGUAAAGGGCGUGUAGGCGGUCGAUCAAGUCUGAUGUGAAAGCCCGGGGCUUAACCUCGGAAGGGCGUUGGAAACUGGUCGACUUGAGUUCGGGAGAGGAAAGCGGAAUUCCGGGUGUAGAGGUGAAAUUCGUAGAUAUCCGGAGGAACACCGGUGGCGAAGGCGGCUUUCUGGACCGAAACUGACGCUGAGACGCGAAAGCGUGGGGAGCAAACAGG